GAUGAACGCUGGCGGCGUGCCUAAUACAUGCAAGUCGAGCGAACAGACGAGGAGCUUGCUCCUCUGACGUUAGCGGCGGACGGGUGAGUAACACGUGGAUAACCUACCUAUAAGACUGGGAUAACUUCGGGAAACCGGAGCUAAUACCGGAUAAUAUAUUGAACCGCAUGCUUCAAUAGUGAAAGACGGUUUUGCUGUCACUUAUAGAUGGAUCCGCGCCGCAUUAGCUAGUUGGUAAGGUAACGGCUUACCAAGGCGACGAUGCGUAGCCGACCUGAGAGGGUGAUCGGCCACACUGGAACUGAGACACGGUCCAGACUCCUACGGGAGGCAGCAGUAGGGAAUCUUCCGCAAUGGGCGAAAGCCUGACGGAGCAACGCCGCGUGAGUGAUGAAGGUCUUCGGAUCGUAAAACUCUGUUAUUAGGGAAGAACAAAUGUGUAAGUAACUAUGCACGUCUUGACGGUACCUAAUCAGAAAGCCACGGCUAACUACGUG
rnacentral:rRNA from 1 species